rnacentral:tRNA from 1 species
CUCACUGUAGUUUAUAAUAAAACGUUGACUUGCAAAAUCGAAAAAGGAUUCAUAUCCCAGUGUGU